rnacentral:rRNA from 1 species
UGAGUAACACGUAUCCAACCUGCCGUCUACUCUUGGACAGCCUUCUGAAAGGAAGAUUAAUACAAGAUGGCAUCAUGAGUUCACAUGUUCACAUGAUUAAAGGUAUUCCGGUAGACGAUGGGGAUGCGUUCCAUUAGAUAGUAGGCGGGGUAACGGCCCACCUAGUCUUCGAUGGAUAGGGGUUCUGAGAGGAAGGUUCCCCACAUUGGAACUGAGACACGGUCCAA